rnacentral:rRNA from 1 species
GCGGCGGACGGGUGAGUAACACGUGGGUAACCUGCCCAAGAGACUGGGAUAACACCUGGAAACAGAUGCUAAUACCGGAUAACAACACUAGACGCAUGUCUAGAGUUUGAAAGAUGGUUCUGCUAUCACUCUUGGAUGGACCUGCGGUGCAUUAGCUAGUUGGUAAGGUAACGGCUUACCAAGGCAAUGAUGCAUAGCCGAGUUGAGAGACUGAUCGGCCACAUUGGGACUGAGACACGGCCCAAACUCCUACGGGAGGCAGCAGUAGGGAAUCUUCCACAAUGGACGAAAGUCUGAUGGAGCAACGCCGCGUGAGUGAAGAAGGGUUUCGGCUCGUAAAGCUCUGUUGGUAGUGAAGAAAGAUAGAGGUAGUAACUGGCCUUUAUUUGACGGUAAUUACUUAGAAAGUCACGGCUAACUACGUGCCAGCAGCCGCGGUAAUACGUAGGUGGCAAGCGUUGUCCGGAUUUAUUGGGCGUAAAGCGAGUGCAGGCGGUUCAAUAAGUCUGAUGUGAAAGCCUUCGGCUCAACCGGAGAAUUGCAUCAGAAACUGUUGAACUUGAGUGCAGAAGAGGAGAGUGGAACUCCAUGUGUAGCGGUGGAAUGCGUAGAUAUAUGGAAGAACACCAGUGGCGAAGGCGGCUCUCUGGUCUGCAACUGACGCUGAAGCUCGAAAGCAUGGGUAGCGAACAGGAUUAGAUACCCUGGUAGUCCAUGC